rnacentral:misc_RNA from 1 species
AAGGAUCAUUACUGAAGACAAUGGGGUUUUUGAGACUGUGUCUUAACGACAUGUGCUCGACUCCUACUCUUUAUCCACACACACCUGUGCACCUUGGGGACGAAGGUCCCCCUUUUCCAUACAAACACCAAGUUAUAUGCAUGUCUUAUUACUACUCUACGGAGUAACAUAAUAACAACUUUCAACAACGGAUCUCUUGGCUUUC